GACGAACGCUGGCGGCGUGCUUAACACAUGCAAGUCGAACGAUGAAGCCGGAGCUUGCUCUGGUGAAUUAGUGGCGAACGGGUGAGUAACACGUGAGUAACCUGCCCUUGACUCUGGGAUAACUGCGGGAAACUGUAGCUAAUACCGGAUACGACCCUCGGAGGCAUCUCCUGGGGGUGGAAAGAAUUUCGGUCAAGGAUGGACUCGCGGCCUAUCAGCUAAUUGGUGAGGUAAAGGCUCACCAAGGCGACGACGGGUAGCCGGCCUGAGAGGGUGACCGGCCACACUGGGACUGAGACACGGCCCAGACUCCUACGGGAGGCAGCAGUGGGGAAUAUUGCACAAUGGGCGCAAGCCUGAUGCAGCAACGCCGCGUGAGGGAUGACGGCCUUCGGGUUGUAAACCUCUUUUAGCAGGGAAGAAGCGAAAGUGACGGUACCUGCAGAAAAAGCAUCGGCCAACUACGUGCCAGCAGCCGCUGUAA
rnacentral:rRNA from 1 species